rnacentral:rRNA from 1 species
CCUACGGGUGGCAGCAGUGAGGAAUAUUGGUCAAUGGACGAGAGUCUGAACCAGCCAAGUAGCGUGCAGGAUGACUGCCCUAUGGGUUGUAAACUUCUUUUAUAUGGGAAUAAAACGUUCCACGUGUGGGACUUUGUAUGUACCAUAUGAAUAAGGAUCGGCUAACUCCGUGCCAGCAGCCGCGGUAAUACGGAGGAUCCGAGCGUUAUCCGGAUUUAUUGGGUUUAAAGGGAGCGUAGGUGGAUUGUUAAGUCAGUUGUGAAAUUUUGCGGCUCAACCGUAAAAUUGCAGUUGAAACUGGCAGUCUUGAGUCCGCGUGAGGUACGCGGAAUUCGUGGUGUAGCGGUGAAAUGCUUAGAUAUCACGAAGAACCCAGAUUGCGAAGGCAGCUUACUAAAGCGCAACUGACACGGAUGCUCGAAAGUGCGGGUAUCGAACAGGAUUAGAUACCCCGGUAGUC